rnacentral:rRNA from 1 species
UCUACGGGUGGCUUCAGUGAGGAAUAUUGGUCAAUGGACGCAAGUCUGAACCAGCCAUGCCGCGUGCAGGAAGACGGCUCUAUGAGUUGUAAACUGCUUUUGUACGAGGGUAAAUCCCGAUACGUGUAUCGGGUUGAAAGUAUCGUACGAACAAGGAUCGGCCAACUCCGUGCCAGCAGCCGCGGGAAUACGGAGGAUUCAAUCGUUAUCCGGAUUUAGUGGGUUUAAAGGGAGCGUAGGCGGUUCGAUAAGUUAGAGGCGAAAUCCCGGGGCUCAACUCCGGCACUGCCUCUGAUACUGUCGGGCUGGAGUAUAGUUGAGGUAGGCGGAAUGGAUGGUGUAGCGGUGAAAUGCGUAGAGAUCA